rnacentral:miRNA from 1 species
CACUUUUAAAAUCAGUUGUUUAAGAACUAAUUUUGUAUACUACAUACAAAAUUGAUUCUGAAAUAACCGAUUUUAAAAGUA